AUAGUGUUGUGCUCUUUGUAUCUGUCGUGGUUCACAUGGAAAUAAACAGGAGGCAUUACUUUCCGAGCAACAUAGGUAAAUAGAAGAACAGAAAUUAUGCAUAGAUACAGAAGAUAUAUUUAAAUAGCUUCAGCAACUCUUUAGUAACUCAGUUUCGUAUUUUCUGCCCUGCUUUCCCCAGCUGCAAAACUUUUCACCACAGUAGCUCUCAAACAGUUCUUUCUAAACAAGGAGCAAACGUCCUUGAAACAGGGAAUUUUCUUCAAUCCACGCAGAGCAGCUAAGUUACCUCAUGAAUAUUAAUGAGCAUUAAGCUGUGCCACAAAUAUAAUUUUCAGGCAAAAAGUCUUCUGCACGUAGGUGCAGUCCCUGGCAAAGUUCACAACACAGCAUUCUCUCUGCUGGUUGCAGGUCCUCAGUGCCACACAGAUUUCCUCUUCAGAUGCAGCAGAGGCAACUGGGAAUGCUGAGCUCCCAGAACAUAAAACAUCAUUAGAGAAAGCUAAAAGCAAACAAAAACAACGCAAGGCAUCAAGCAAGAAAGAAAAAAAGGUUAUUUAAUUUGCAUGGGAGUUUUCUACCUCUUCUGAACAGGUCCACCCAUCUCUAUAUUUUUCCUCUUUAAAUGUUAAAGCAUCUGAACAUUUGUUCUGUCAGUUGAGAAAAAAUGGACUGACUUAAACCCAUCUUAGAUCCCCGGGGGAUAUCACAGGAAAAUAGGACAGCAGUGCUGAGAGGAAAAACUCCAUCUACUGCAUCUUUUACAAUUAAAACUUACCAACAGUGACGCAGGGGAAAGAGGUGAGAACGGCUUUUAUGCUGCAAUUCAAAGUUCCAUAUUGUAUCCAACCACCAAUACACAAAGAGUGCAAAUGAAAAUUACUCAUGUCAGUGGCUGACAGUUGCACUGUCUGAGGAGCACCCUUCUGUAGCUCUAUUCAUACUGACAUGUAAUUAAAGCAUACCGUGUCCAGAAAUUUCAAGUGAAAAGCCUUGAAGUAUGAUCAAAUUGAGCUCUGUGUAUGUCUUUGUCAUGUCUGAAAUGCAAGAGGUACUUAAGGAUGCUUCAGGUAUUCUACAAAUACAGAUGGAUUUGAACAGGAAACCAUAAAAGUAAAUCCCCUUUAUAAUUCAUACAUUAUGAAUUUAACUGCAACGCCUAGAAUUCUGACUAGUUAAGUCCUACCAAAGCUUCAUCUAUCAAUGUAUGUUUUCUGAUUCCAAAUUUUUAGGCUUCUUCCAUUAACAAAAAAGAAUGAUGAUGACCUUCAGGAGCUUUGGCUGAGUAAGAACUAAGAAAUCUGGGACGAAGGAGCUGCUCCAAACUAUAAGCUCCUCCCUGAAAAACAUGGUGAAUUGUGACAAGAUAUUAAGAAACUUUUUCUGUAACAUUUUACCCUUCCAAAAACAUAUGAAAGAAAGCACAGUGAGGGCAAGUCCCUGGAUUUAAGAGAAACGACACAACUUUGCAGUUUCUGGGAACAAUCUCAUGUAUGUUGGACUAUUAAUUUCAUAAAAUCAUAAAACCAUAGAAUCAUCAAGAUUGGAAAAGACCUCUGAGAUCAGUCCAACCAUCCACUCGUCACCAGUAUUUCCCACCAAACCACAUCCCUCAGUACAACACCUAAAUGUUUCUUGAACACCUCCAGGGAUGGUGACUCCACCACCUGUUAUGGUUGUCAGAAACUUGUGGAAUCCAUCAGCCUGCUGCAGAGGUCUGGGCUAUUGAGAGCAGUCUGACCUCCACGGAUGGAAUUUGUUGGUCUCUCGGCACCAUCUGAGCUGCAAGCUGAAAUCUGUAAAGGAGGUCAUGAAGAAAGGAUAUCUGGAGUCAACUUGGCUCACACAUCCUAGUCCAGAAGAGGCACUGAUUCAGCUGGAUGGGACACAGCACUCAUUGCUGGAGGCUCUGAAGUUUCCAAAGAGAUUAAGAUAACUUUGAUGACAUUUCUGGAGGAUGAAGAGCAGCAAUGAUAACUGAGACUAUACGUGUGAGUGCCAUUCAAAAGGGCUUAGGAAAUAUCAGUCACACCCUGAGGGUACAUCUAAUCUGGACUGCACUCCCUGCUCCUAGUCAAUACACAUUUCAUCAUGUCAUCCAAGCUGAUUGCCAAGAAUCCUUCCUACUGAAUCAUAUAUUUCUGAGCUGCCAUCACUCCAAACUGCAUGGCUGCCAUGUUCACAUCUACUGGUGUCAGCACUGCAAAAGGAGAUGAGAAAGAUCCUUAUCCCCAUUUGACAACCCUCUCCUGGACCAGAACAGAAGCACAUGGAUCCUAUCCCUCCUUCUUCCCUCCUUUAGCAAAGUCGGACAUAACUGGAGCAGAAGCUUCAACAGACAUAGCAGCAGACUCCUGUUCAAGUGCUCUGAAGAAAGGGUAAGGAAAGUGAGAGUUCAUGUGGUAAAAUAACAAAACAAAUAUCUGAAUGGCCACAGAGUGCAUGUUGUGAUUUGAGAGGUUUGUGGUUUUAAAUAAAGUAUAAAUGAGCAAUAAGAUUAGAAACUUCAUUUGUUAAAGUUUGCAUUUCCC
ensembl:lncRNA